rnacentral:rRNA from 1 species
UGGGGAAUAUUGCACAAUGGAGGGAACUCUGAUGCAGCGACGCCGCGUGAACGAAGAAGGCUUUCGAGUCGUAAAGUUCUUUUAUAUGGGAAGAUAAUGACGGUACCAUAAGAAGAAGCCCCGGCUAACUACGUGCCAGCAGCCGCGGUAAUACGUAGGUGGCUAGCGUUGUCCGGAAUCACUGGGCGUAAAGGGUUCGCAGGCGGAAAUGCAAGUCAGGUGUAAAAGGCAGUAGCUUAACUACUGUAAGCAUUUGAAACUGCAUAUCUUGAGAAGAGUAGAGGUAAGUGGAAUUUUUAGUGUAGCGGUGAAAUGCGUAGAUAUUAAAAAGAAUACCGGUGGCGAAGGCGACUUACUGGGCUCAUUCUGACGCUGAGGAACGAAAGCGAGGGUAGCAAACAGG